AGUGAACGCUGGCGGUAGGCCUAACACAUGCAAGUCGAACGGCAGCACAGUAAGAGCUUGCUCUUACGGGUGGCGAGUGGCGGACGGGUGAGGAAUACAUCGGAAUCUACUUUUUCGUGGGGGAUAACAUAGGAAAACUUACGCUAAUACCGCAUACGACCUACGGGUGAAAGCAGGGGAUCUUCGGACCUUGCGCGAUUGAAUGAGCCGAUGUCGGAUGAGCUAGUUGGCGGGGUAAAGGCCCACCAAGGCGACGAUCCGUAGCUGGUCUGCGAGGGUGAGCAGCCACACUGGAACUGGGACACGGUCCAGACUCCGACGGGAGGGAGCGGUGGGGGAUAGGGGACAAUGGGCGCAAGCCGGAGCCAGACGUACCGCGGGGGUGAAGAAGGUGUUCGGGUUGGAAAGCCCUUUUGUUGGGAAAGAAAAGCAGCAGGUUUAGACCGCGGUGUGCUGACGGUACCCAAAGAAGAAGCACCGGCUAACUUCGUG
rnacentral:rRNA from 1 species